CAGAUAGUCGAUAGAUUAGGGAUUCACCCUUCUCCACGCCGCCCGCCCCUCGCUUCCUAUCUGCGACACCAUCUUCCUCCCGUAGGCGCCGCGCUACCCCACAGCCAGGUCCUUCAGAUCUAGCGGCGUUGAGCACAGGGCAAGCGGCGGCAGGAUCUGAUGGACGUUGCCGUCGUUUCCCUUGUAGCAACCCUUCUCCAAUCAACGCCCCCCCUGCGAUUCCCUCCAGCCUGCCGGACGCAUGCACCUCGCCUUUGAACACGACCAUGCCUGAGCAUGACGACAGCCAUCCGUGAUGGCCUCCUCGUCUGCUAUGUCGCACUCUGAUAGCAACAUGACGUUGUUCCCAUGCUCUUCAAUGUUACAUCCUUCCUCCCCUCCUCUGCUUGAUUUGUUUGAUUAGUACAAUAAUCUGCCUACCACCAACCUGUUCGUGAAAAUACUCAGCACAGAUGGACGAGAUUUAAGACCUGCCCACCACAUGUUCGAUAGAAUGCUUCUCUAAGUUAAAGUACGAGAACAUUGGACCGGAGACAUUCAGACAUUGUGUUGUUCUCCUUUCCAUACUACCAAUGUUAGUGAAGUAUAAGGAACCACUGUAAUUUUGGUGGAUCUUCAGUUUCAGAUGGGUCUGCAUGAAAAAAUGCCGAUGCUUAACAGAUCAAAGCUAUGGCUUGUAACAUUCUGCUUUGGGAAGAUGCCUUAUGUAAUGUAAAAUACAGGGAAAUGAUCAGAUGAUUGAUCAACACUUUAUGCACGGUUCAAAAGAUAGAGAUGCAGAUGGGUACCCGAAGAAGUCAGAUCUUGUUAAAUUAAAUAUGUUGUAUGGCUGAUGACAGCUGAAGAUCGACCAUGUUUUUUUUAUUGUUUUGGGGAAAAAGUAUGCAUUGUUUAGUGGAUGGUUUCAGCUCAGU